rnacentral:tRNA from 1 species
GUCCCUGUAGUGCGAUAGGUACCGCGUUGGACUUCCAAUCCAAAAGUCGUGGGCUCGAAUUCCAUCUGGGAUG